CUCUAAAUGAAUCAGAGAUGCCAGCAUCCCUCCCACAUCUCGUCCUCUUGCUGCCCACUUCCCUCUCCAGUUGGAGUUUAUUUAUUGAGCAAACUGGCAUCCAGCUCGCCUGAAAUGCUUCAGUGACUUGACACCUCUGCUCCCAUCGCCCAACACACCAUCAAUCCGACGCCUGGACUCGUCUGCAUCAAAGGCCCCGCUGCAGCAGCAAGUUGGAGGGGUCUUCAACUGCUGUCGUCUUCUCCUCCUGCACAGACAACAACACACAUUGAUCACACAAACUCAUCUGUGUUGGGUCAUGGUGGAGGGUCAUCAGCUGAUUGAGCCACACCUGGGCCCAGUGUGUGCUCCUUCUUAUAUUAACCCCCAGUCUGGAGUCCGAUGGGGGGCUGGGAGGAUGGUUCCUGGUCCCGGCCGAUCGUGGUGGCAGCUGCCGUUUUCUUUUCGUUAGUUUGGUUGUCCAUGUGUUUGGUUAAGUUGAUUAAUUUACCUUUUGUAAAAAUAAAUUCCUGUUUUUAACCUGCCAACUCGUGCCAUCUCCCUCUCUUGUCACAGUUGUUGAGCCAGGCUGUGACACACUUUACUGUACUGUUACAUUGAGUGACUCCUGACUAUACUUUUUUAACUUUUAUUUCUAUUUUGGUUUACUAUUACUUCUACCAUUACGUACUAUUUUUCUUUUUACAUAUUACUUCUAAAGUUACAUUUAACUUUUACUGUUUCAAACUACAUCUAGUAACAGAUUACUUUGACUUAUAUCUCACUUCUUAUUUCAAACUGUGCAAUAUCAGUACUCAAAUCCAAUCUAUCACUGUGUACACAGUCUUGUAUAUAUGAUGCCCUUUUCUAUUGUUGUUGUUGUGACUGAUAAAGGAUUAUGUUACUCAAAUAAAUACUUCUAA